rnacentral:rRNA from 1 species
AGCCUUGCUGGGUUGAUUAGUGGCGAACGGGUGAGUAACACGUGAGUAACCUGCCCCUGACUCUGGGAUAAGCGUUGGAAACGACGUCUAAUACUGGAUAUGAUCGCCGGCCGCAUGGUCUGGUGGUGGAAAGAUUUUUUGGUUGGGGAUGGACUCGCGGCCUAUCAGCUUGUUGGUGAGGUAAUGGCUCACCAAGGCGACGACGGGUAGCCGGCCUGAGAGGGUGACCGGCCACACUGGGACUGAGACACGGCCCAGACUCCUACGGGAGGCAGCAGUGGGGAAUAUUGCACAAUGGGCGAAAGCCUGAUGCAGCAACGCCGCGUGAGGGAUGACGGCCUUCGGGUUGUAAACCUCUUUUAGUAGGGAAGAAGCGAAAGUGACGGUACCUGCAGAAAAAGCACCGGCUAACUACGUG